GGGGGCCCGCACAAGCGGCGGAGCAUGCGGAUUAAUUCGAUGCAACGCGAAGAACCUUACCAAGGCUUGACAUGAACCGGAAAUACCUGGAAACAGGUGCCCCGCUUGCGGUCGGUUUACAGGUGGUGCAUGGUUGUCGUCAGCUCGUGUCGUGAGAUGUUGGGUUAAGUCCCGCAACGAGCGCAACCCUCGUUCUAUGUUGCCAGCGCGUUAUGGCGGGGACUCAUAGGAGACUGCCGGGGUCAACUCGGAGGAAGGUGGGGACGACGUCAAAUCAUCAUGCCCCUUAUGUCUUGGGCUUCACGCAUGCUACAAUGGCCAGUACAAAGGGUUGCGAUACUGUGAGGUGGAGCUAAUCCCAAAAAGCCGGUCUCAGUUCGGAUUGGGGUCUGCAACUCGACCCCAUGAAGUCGGAGUCGCUAGUAAUCGCAGAUCAGCAACGCUGCGGUGAAUACGUUCCCGGGCCUUGUACACACCGCCCGUCAAGUCACGAAAGUUGGUAACACCCGAAGCCGGUGGCCUAACCCC
rnacentral:rRNA from 1 species